AGAGCAGGAAGGGCGCACACCACAGCCGGCGGAGCGGGCGUCCCCCGGAGCCCCUGCGCCAGAACUGCUGACUUGCAGCUUCACAUCAUUUUUGUUCUGUGGAAAACCGCAAAGGUUUUGUUUCCAUAAUUCGGCUCCUCUUCUUCGUCUUAGGUUUUAGAAAGUCUCCAAAGAGAAUGGCAAUUUAGUUCCUCCUCUUUCCUGCCCUCCACCCCAACCCUCCACCUUUUAAGAUUAAUUUUUAGUUCUGUCUUUGCAGAAGUUGUUUUAAAUCCCUGUACUAAAAAUUGUUGCUUUAUUCACACAAUACGCCAUUAAGGGCACACGGGUGAAUCAGAUGCCCCGUUAGUCCCUUUCCUUGCAAGUUCCUGGAGCUGUGAUCUCACUGGGAGGGGCUGAGUUUGGGAGCAGGCAUAAAAAGAAACAUGAUGAUAUUAGGCUCACUUGACAAGAAAUAAGCAGUUACACCUUGCCUUUUCCACACAGGAUGUAGUUCACCCAGGCUAUCAUCUGACAUUGCUAAGUCCCCUUCUGGUUGGUCUUGACUCACAACCCAUUCCUCAUUCUGGCCUCUCCAUCCUCACAGGACCCCCAGCCAGGGGAAACUUCCCAGCUUCCAGCGGGAAGUGCUGCUUCCCCAAAUUGGGCAGCACCUGGGGAUGCCUCUAGAUGCAUAAUCACCUCAGAGGUCCUGAGCCAGAGUCCAGAGAUUCUUUCUGAGAUUCUGGCAAGGCCCCGGGGUACUGAUGGAGGACUGGGAAGGUAGGAGAAGGCCACGGGGAGGGGGAGGCUGGACACAGGAGGGAUCUCCACUUCAUUUAUGUGCUCUUUGGUGCUUCGCUCUGAUGGUAAGUCACGUUGUCACUCUUGGCCAGACAGCCAGACUGUCCAAGCUGAAAACGUAAACAAAAGCUCCUUGCAGGAAGCAACAGGGUGCAAACUUGCCACCUGGGGGGCCUCUCUGCCACCCCUUGGCCAGCCCUCUCCUCCAGCAUCUGGCCCCACCCCGGCCCUGCCCGCCUGGCAUGUAAAGCACCCCCUCCUCUCCAAGCAUCCGUUCCUCAGCCGCUGUGUUCCUGUCGCAGGUCCCUGGAUGGGCCACACACAAACCUUCACUCAGCUUAUUCUUUCUAGGCCUUACCCUGCCUGCCCGGGAGAGGCCACUGUUCUCCACGGCUUCCCUUGCCCUGGCCAGCCCACUUCCUGCAGGAGUGCUCCGAAAUCGGUUUUGGUAGCACUGUGUUAAGGUUGCAGAUGGUGUUUUCAACACUGUACUCCGACUCUACUUGCAGGUUUCUCCACCUCAGUAGACCCUGAGCAUACCAGGGCAAGGUGUUAUAUUCUAAUUUGUGUCUCCAGUGGAGACACAGGUCCACAAUAUGCACUCAAUCAAGUCUUGCCAAACAUUUGCAGCACUCAGUUCUCGUCUUGUCCAACACUCACACCUGCUUCUGCUGCCCCCAAGUCAAGUACCCCUACCUAGUUUCUUGCUAACAUGUUAACAUGGUACCCCCCCCCACCAAGUGCCAAGCCCUUGUCCAUCACUCAGUGAUUCCCUGUACACAUGCAGUUACUUGUAACGUAUGCUGCUUCCUCUGCCAGUUAUGCUUUUCUGACUUCUCUUCUUGGCAAAUUCCUAUUCUGUCUAAAAAUCACUUCUUCCCUUGGCAACAUGCCACAAGUUCCACCUGACUCCUCUGUGCUCCCAGAGCACCUCAGAGAGGCCUCGUUGCAACCUCUGCCAUCUUCCGAGGACAUGGCUACAGAGCCACAGCUGGCAUGGUUUGCUGGAAGAACCAAGAGCUGAAAGGCAGAUUUACCAGGUGGUGCCCCCCCCAGGUGUCUGCAGAACCCACAUAUUCCAGUCUCCAGACCAUGGAAGCAGUGCUGUUUCCAGCUUGUCUCUGCCACAGGGUCCUUCUCUGCUCUCUCAGCCUGAAGGCCUCCUCUGUGUCUGUGAGUGGCUGGCUCCUUCUCAACCUUCAUUCAGGUCUCCGCUCAAACACCACCCUCACCACCAUGCCCACCUGCCAGCUACUAUCACACAGACCUUCAUUUUCUUCAUGAGGUGAUUCUGAAGAGAAAAUAAGCUUGGGAGCUAUCACCCUAACUUACUUAUUCCCUCAGUGAUGGAAUUUGGGGGACAUUUUCAUCUUUUGCCAUUUGAAACACUACAAUGAACAACUGCACAACUGUCAUUUCACAUGUGUGCAAGUCUAUGGGGUAAAUGCCCCCUCUAAGAUUGGUGGGUCAAAGAAUACGUGUUUAUAACCUGAGAGAUAUUGCCAAAUUCUCCUCUAUAGAUGUGCUAUUCUGCCGUCCUCCCAGCCAUGUGGGGUUGUUUUCCAAAGAGUGUGUUAUCAAAUAUUUUGGAUUUUUUCCAAUAUGAGAAGUGAAAAAAUGGUAUCUUGGUGUAGUUUUAAUUUGCAUUUCUCGUAUGAGUGAAAUCAAACUUUUUUUCUAUGCUUAGCUAUUUGUGUUUCUUCUUCUGUGAGCUAUCUGUUCAAUACUUCAUCCCAAAUCCUAUUGAACUGUUAGCCUCUUCCUUAACAAUUUCUAGGAGCUCUGUUUUACUUUGUUUUUUUAAACAAGGGAGAUUAGCUCUUUGUGAUAGAAGUUUCAGAUAUUUUUCUCAGUUUGGCAUCUGUCUUUGCUUAUGGUUUUUGGCCAUGCAGAAAGUUUUUUUGUAAUUUAAAUUCAAUUUUUAUGAAUGUUUUCUUUUCUGGCUUCUGGAUUUUGAGUUGAAACUAGAAAGGCUUUCUCUGCUCCAAGGUUAUAAAAAGGAACUCGCUAUGUGUUCUUCCAGGACUUUCAUAGUUUUGUUUACACUUUUACCUUGGAUUCACUUGGAGUCUAGCCUGGUACAUGGUAUAAUGUAUGAACCUAAUUUACUUUCUUUUCCAGAGAAAAGAAACAUGGCAUGAUUGGGCCAUAAUUUACAUGCCCCAAUCCAGUAAAUCAAGAGUUUAUCUUAGUCCCAAUGAUUUGUGAAGCUACCUUUAUCGAAUAACUAAAUUUCCACAGGUACUUGCAUCUACAUUUGGACUUUCUAUUCUGUUCCAUUGGUCUGUCUCUUCAUCUAUUGGUAUCUCACUAUUUUAAUUAUUUAGGCACUAUGGAAGUUUUUAAUACCUGGUAAGGACUCCUUGCUCUUGUUCAGUUUUUUGUUUGUUUGUUUUUGUUUUAAUGAUAACCUCAGAAUCUAACUAAAAGAAAAAAAUCUGUUGUAUUUGGAUUUAUAUUAAAUUGAAAAACUUACGGAGAACUGACAUCUUGCCAUCUUGCUAAUGAUGAUUAUUCCUGUCUAAUAAAUGUGGUAUGUCUUUCCAUUUAUUCCAGUUGUCUUCUGUAUCUUUUAAUAGUAUGGUUAUCUUAAGGUGUUUUCUCUUUUUAUUUUAAUUGGAUGUAGAAUCUUCAGUAAUAUCAUCUAGCAAGUUAUUUGCAUAUUGUACAGUUGUAUGAUGAUAAAUUUGUAUGUUAUUUCUGGCAGAAGAUGUUCUAUUCUGUGCCUUUAGAAGGACACAAUGGGAUGGGGGGGAAUCAAAGGGUGAUAGUCUUAACAAUAAAUAGAGGUUGAGAUCCUAAUCAAGAAUCAAAGCAAUACAUUCUGAGUUGGCAUUCACAAAUGAGUAAGUCAAAUGGUGUGGGGCAUAAUGCUGGGGUGGCCAUGGAAGAAUUCUGCCCAACAGAGGAUGAUGUUCCUUAAGCUUCCAACACAGCAGGUUCAGAGAGGUUAGGAAAAAUAAGCAAGGGAAAGAAACAAGUACUGAUCUAACAAUGACGGAAGCUGACUCCAUGCCUUAGUGGAUGCUUGCGGAGGAUGGCACUAUCUUGGCUGGGCUGACUGUAUUAGCAAUGCAUGUAUCUAAAUCAGCUCUAAAACCCAUAGAGAGACUGGCACUUUAGUGUGAACACGUAAACUGUGGGUGAUGGUCUGUAUUUCACAUAAGUUGUGAUCACUGCAAGGCUCUGCUGGUAUUUUACAAGUCAAAAACAAGUUUCCUCUUCCACAGCCAUAUGUUUGAAAGAUAUGUCCCUUUAAGAAUAAUCAAACUCUCACCCAAAACAUGUAUUUUUCAAACCUAGAGGUUCCAACUUGAAAUACUGGACCACAGGGAUACUCAGCUCAGAUCCUCUUUCAGAAAGGACUUGCUGUCCAGCUCCAGAGUGUCACUAGCAGAUGCCCUCCAGCUGCUAGCUCUUCUAGGGUCCACUUCAACUUUUGGCCUAGGUCACACUCUUCCUAGGCAGCUCCUGGCCAGUAACUGAGCCCAGCAAUGGUCCCAGGGCCCGGUUAUAUCCAUCUAACAGGGGGCUCUGCAAAUGAGCUCCCGGAGGGCUGGCAGAGUGUCUGUCCUAUCAGAGUCCUGGUCAAACCGCUCCCCACACCCAUCAUCUUCCUCCUCUCUUCCUUUCAUUGGUGUUAUCCUCAGUAAACCUUUCACAUCCCUAACUUCAUCUCAGUAUGUCUCCUAAAAAACUCAAAUAGCAAUGAAAAUGUUUAGCAAAUUUUGGGAAAGUAAAGGGGGGAAUAAACAUUCCCACAUAAUGUAGAUCCAGACGAUUCUGGAACUAGAAGUAGAAAGGCCUCAUCACACAAGCCAACUAAAAUGCACCUCAAAGGUUAAUGUCAUCGAAUUUCAAAAGUCCUCGAAACUUCCAUGGUUAUAAACGAGCAUUUCCUGCAUGCUGGACUCUUCAUCGUUGGUCUGGAUUAAUCCUCACUUCCAUUCUAGGUGGUGGGUACAAGGACUUCCAUUUUAUAGACAAGGAAAACCUGAUGUAAGUAAGUGGUAGAAAGCAGAUUCAAAUGCAGGCAGGACUACCUGGCUCCAAAGCCUUUUCCUUUCCAGAUGGUACACUGCCCACAUCUCUUAGUUUAUCGGCACAGGGUCAAGAAGGUGGUGAGGGUAUGGACUGACACGGCAUCUACGGAGCUUUCCAUACUUAUACCAAGACGCCCCCCUGUAAAGAGUGGACUGUCCGGUAGCCGGGCAAGGUGGCUCAUACCUUAAUCCCAGCACUUUGGGAGUCCAAGGCAGAAGGAUCACUUGAGGUCAGGAGUUCGAGACCAGCCUAGCCAACAUGGUAAAACCCUGUCUUUACUAAAAAUGCAAAUAAUAGCCAGGCAUGGUGGUACGUGCCUGAAAUCCCAGCUACUUGGGAAACUGAGGGAUGAGAAUCACUUGAACCCAGGAGGUAGAGGUUGCAGUGAGCCGAGAUCAUGCUACUGCACUCUGACCUGGGUGAGGGAGUGAGAAUUUGUGUCCAAAAAAAAGAAAAAGAGUGAACUGUUCCGCCUUUGUCUGAUGAAGGAAUAUAAUAAUUGGCAGCCAUACACUAUAUUCCCGGGUCAAGGAAUUCCUGGGUCAUUUUCAGCAAGCCUAAAACAAGGUGUUCACACAUUUAUUUAAAAAUAUCCCAACAAAGUGUUGCAAAAUUUCCCUUGAUUGCAAUGAUUCUUUAAGCUGUUAACAUUAAUCUUGGGUGGAUGCAGGAGUUGUCCACUGGCUUUCCAAAAGGCAUCCAAUGCCUUUAAGGCAGCAUAAGAGAAACACUGCCCCUCUCGAUGAACUGGGUCCCUGAGUCUGGCAGUACUGCCCUGUUCUCCACUGUGUCACCUAUACAGGGACCCCUGAGAAGACCAGUGUGCAUGAACCAGAGACUGGACAGUGCCUCUGUUACCAUCACCGUGUGGUAUCAUGAAGAGGUAACCAUCCCGAAGUCACCCAACUUGUCAGCAGAACUACUGGGAAAAGAGCUUAACUUUUCCUGUACUUAAAUUCUUCCAUAUGUAGUUGGAGUUACAGGCCCCAAAGUAAAGACCUAUUAAGCUUGCCUAUAUUGCUCCUAAAUUCUCUACUCGUCUGUUCAUUAUUUCCAAAUUUAAUAAGGCCAUACUGUUGUGUCUUCAUCCUGGUCAAUGCAUCCAAUGAUACCUUGAUAACUUUAUCAGAGCAGUAGCUAGCAGAAGCACAGAGGCACGGAGGAUGUUAAAACUGCUCAACACCACGGUACAAAUGCAUUGUCAGCUUAUGUAGGAGUCUGCUUUUUAUGCAGGCUUAUGCAACUGGUGUAAUUUUAAAAUUUUAUAAGCCAUUUGAAAGAGCAACUUUGAUAUUAAUGAAAUGGGGAGAAAUGUAUAUACAGUCAAAGAAAAGUGUCUUUCCUUUAGCUGAUGUCAGAGACUCCCUAGAAAUGAAAAAUUAUUACUGUCUUUUAGAAAAACAAAGGUUAAAUGGAAAUAGCACUGGCAGGAGUCAUAUCACAACAGCAAAAUAUAACAGGGCCAGGCAAACCAAGGAUAUUGUUGCAAAUGCAGAGCCUUGAUCAGGCUCAUAUCUCGAACCUUUUAUUUUGUAAAGCUGCCAAUUUUAUAGCACAAAAAUUUUAGUUAGGGCACCUUUAAGAUUCACUGCAUCUACUAUGAGAAGAGAGAAUGUCUUAGAAGAGUUUUUAAAAAUACUACUUUGAAACACUUAUGGGCAAACAAGAAUUGGAACACUAAUCACUGUAAUUUCCCCACCAGGAUCACUAGGUAAGACAUUCAGAGAACUGGUGGAAGCAAGUGAUGAUUCAGAUGCAGUAGUAGAACAGAAGAUUGCCAAUCAACUGCAAACAAAGUGCCGCACAGGCCCAUCUCAACUGACAGCAAUGGUAGAGAGAGAAGAGAGAAAGAAGAGAGAGAAGAGAAACGAGAGAAGAGGAGAGAGGAGGGGGAGGAGGAGGAAGGAGGGGGAGGAGGAAGGAGGAGGAGGGAGGAGGAGAAGGAAGGAGGAGGAGGGAGGAGGAGGGGGCAGGAGAAGGAAGGAGGGGAGGAGGAGGAGGGAGGGGAGGAAGAGGGAGGGGGAGGAGGAGGGAGGCGAGGAGGAGGGAGGGGAGGAGGAGGAGAGAGAAGAAUAUGAGAAGGGAAGUUGGGAGAGACACAGCCCGACUGACUCAGAUUCCAAAUUACAUAUGCACAAAGCCCCUCAAAGGUUAUCAUGCCCUAUCUGAUCCAGGGUAAAUGAAAACUAAAUACUGAGGCGCAAUUCACAAGGAAAGUCAGAGUGUCUACACUGUUAACAACAUACAUUGAAUAAAGUAUUAGAAACAUAUUUACUCUUCUCCCUACUCUCGGUGCUACUGACCGUCUACUGAAUACAAGGUACAAGAAGAGUUUGCUAAGUUUUGGGUACUGCCCAGGUCGUUCCACGGCUAACAAGGCAAAAACACUCAUGUAAACUCCUUGGUGGGCCUGGUAUGUUGUGUGUGGAGAGGGUGCCUGAUGAUGUCUUUGAACUUCACUUUUUGGUUUCUCAGCUAUCUCAGAGGUCUGGCUGUAGAAUUACUAAUAUUUUAAACAAUGCAAAUGUAAUUAUAGUUGAAGCAUACUCUUUAACAGAAGGAGGGAAAGAUUGGCAUUUAGAAGCUUCAUUCAACUUUUGGCCUUUUCAAGGCUAAAUGAAUCUUAGGGAAGAAAUAAAAAGUUCCCAUUGAUUCACUUAAAAAAAGAUUUCUUGCAAUUAACAGAUCUAAAUCUAUGAAAAAGGGAGCAUUUAUGGUAAUUUCCAUAAUCUCUCACUUUCUCUAGACAUUUCAAAUCAAAUUGUAAUAAUUAUAAAAUCCCUCCUUCUCUCUAAAUACACACACACACACACACACACAAAUAUAGUUAAUCAGCAAAACUUUUUCUGAUCUCAAGGAAAUGUCAGUUACAUUUACACAAGCCUAACUAGUUUAAGCAAUUUAUUUGUAAGUAGACAUGCCUCCUAGAUUAGGAAAAAAGUGUAUUUAGCUGUAUGGCAUGACACGCCCCCUACCCCAAACCGUAAAUAGUUUUUUUGGCAGGGAGUCAGCAGAAGAGCUAUAAAAACAUCUUCAGGGUAUAGAAAGAUGUUCAGGACUUAGAAUAUACCUUUUCUCAUGGUUCUCUUAUCCCAACGUAUAAAUUGUGACAAUUUGUUUAAAAGAUUGAACUAAACUAUGAUAUUCUCUUUGUCUUCCAAAUUUAUUUAGACUUGGUAUCCUGUUCUUUCUCUGGAAUUUCCUUUGCUUUUCUUUUUGUCAGUAAGCUAAAUUACUUCUCCUCCCACAUGCAUAAAAGCAUUAAUUUAUAAAACACAUAGCCAUAUGUCAUAUCUCAUGUAAUUCUAUUUUACAUUCCACUGCCGCCCAGACUUAUCUAACAUGAACAAAUAGAUAUUAUUUACUGUAGUCAGAAUGAGAAUUAUCUAAUGCCACUUACAUAGCCAUAAAUUGAUUUUUGAUUAAUGUUUAAGCAAAAAGCAAACAAGCCCAUCUGCUCUGAAAACAAACAAACAAAAGGAAGCAGCAAACGCAUAGUUCACAGGAAUUUCUGCAGUAUUACUAUGUUUCAGCGGCUGGUGAGGAUGGAAUUUUUUCAUUGCUAUCGUGAAAAUAUACUGCUUGACAAGAAGAGAACUGCAUAUAUAGAUGCAGCUUCUUCUCUAGCAACUGUUAAUUUAAUAGACUACUACUUAUGGUGAAACAAAAAACAAUCCCACUCUGAAGAAAGCACUGAAGACCUAUAACCAGCGGUGAAUUUCUUCCGUAUUGCUCAGUGGAAACAAAAGAAAGCUCAAAUGGGUGAGUUUUUCUUCUUUCAGGGUUGCUUUCUCUAUGGAUCAAGGUAAGAAGGAAGAAAAGCUAGGUCUCCUAUCUAUCUCACACAGCAGAUUUUAAAAUAUUUUAAAAAUAUUUUAAAUACUUUCAAUUUUUUAAUAUUUUAAAAACUUUUAAAACUAACUACUGUAUCGUGUACCUAUGAAAUUUCGUUUUCAGUGCAAUUCAAAAUUGCUAAGACAAACCAAUAAGAGAAGUAGAAACACGACCAGAAGGCCCUGUCCUGUUUAUUGGUAUCAUCUCUGAGGCUUCCUCAGUAUCUCGCACAGUAUCUGUCAGUUGACAGCUCUAAUCCGUUUAGAGUUAAUUUGUUCUGCGUCUAUUAUGCAGGUAAGAGAAAAAAACUGCUGCAUUAGGUGGGAAUUUCACUAAUACCAAUGAAUUCCCAAUAUUCUAACUUUCUGGGGAAAAAAGAUGCCAAAAAGAGUGAAUGCAUUUUCAACAAAAACAGCAUGUUAGGAUUGUAGCACAGCAGGUUGAAGGAUGAAAGAAUGGUAAGAGCAAUUUCACAGCAACCAAAAUGACACAAGGACACACAUGCCGGUGAGCAAACAAGAGGCACAACUUAAUGACGCAAGAGGAAGCAGUUUGACUUGCAACUUUCAAAAUUAAAUUCUAACCGUGGUAAUAUAAAGACAGCUUUACAUCCCAUUCACCACGUUACACAUAUUGCCAUUUAUUUGCUAACAGCAAAAAUUCAAAUGAGUGUACUUGAGUCUCUAAAUAUUUUCUACAAACGCUCACCCCCAGACUAAGAUAGACACUGCCAAAGUGAACGAGUCACUGCAUGGCUAGAUUUCCAUGUUGAAAAUCUUAGGCUCAUAGCAGAAUACUUGCACAAAUCCUACUGCAUCUCCUUAAAAAUCACUCUACAAGUUGCAUCCUAAGAGUUCUUGUCAAAAUUGUUCUUUAAAGCAUUACACACAUAUGCACACUGGCCUAGAGAACAAGGAUCUUUGUCUUUCUUUGCCAAAAGACAGUGUUUCCCCAGGCCUGUUUUAGCCUUCGACUGAUGGUUCUGAUUUUGGUUCAGAAAAAUAAUUGCAUGACUGUCCUAAAGUGGAAAGAGAAAAACCUCAAAAAUUGUUAACACAUCAAUUACAUCAACCUUUUCUAAUUACAACUCUGCAUUUCAUUAUUCUGCAGGCAAAAUGAGUACCUUAAGUCUAGAGCCCCAGGUAAACAAAGCCUUUCCCUGUCCUCAUUUCAAAACUUUGUUUUUAUAAACAUUCCCCGUCCCCUAAACUGAACUACAGCAGCACAAUGAUCCUGUUGUGAGCACUGCCUUGACCUCUAUAGGACAACAGAUUGUUGUUCACUUAGCCCCUCAGAGUUAAAUCAGUUUUAAUACAGAAGUUUCUGUCUUAUCAAAGGAAGUAAAGAAGUAAAAACAAAAAAUGAACGUAUACAAGCACAGAUUUUUGAGCUUCGAUUGUAGAGAAAUGGUAGUUAUGUGGCUUGCCAAGAAAGUGCAUCACCUACUUCUGCUUCUGGGGACAGAGGUGAAGGGGUCUGUUCUGGAACUUUCUAAGGAGGCCAUCUUCGUUAUUACAUCAGGGAAGUUUCUAGUCAAAAUGUUAUUCCUGUCUACAGGGAAAAACAAAAGCAAAACACAAAAGAACACUGCUUCUAAUGGCAUCAUAGCAAGGAGUUUAUCUAGAAAGAUGAUGCCAGCAGUCACCUCUUUUCCAGGAAGACAGAAACAAAAACCGUUCUCCUCGAGAGGCCAACAGUGUAGAAGCCCCUUUUCCAGAACUUUCCAAGGAGUAGGUGAACUUCUUUGUAAGUGUAUCAGCACAGGGGAGAGUGGUGCUCCAUGUUCCAAGGAAGAAAAGCAACCCACAGCUCCUCCUGCCCGUGCAGCAGAUGACCAGAAAGACGAGAAAGGGAAACAAACUCCCAUUCAUGGUGAGGCUGCUUGUUUCUCAAACACACUUUUCCAAUGCCUCCACAAGUUGUUUGUUUCUGUAUUUUGAAAGCACUCAACAUGCAGAGUAUUUGCUAACCACAGGCAGAGUACCCAGUCAGGAUGUACCAACUCAAACUCCUCCCUGGGGCAGGCAAGGAUAAACAGGGAACAGGUAAGAGAGGCCUAAAAAGCCAGGUGGACAGAGACCACAUGUGACCCCAAACAGAAACAGGCUGCUGGAAACUAACUCUCUCUCUCUCUAGCUGAUACUUAUUCAGCACUUACUGUAUGUCAGGUACUAUUCUAAAAACUUUACGUAUAGUAACUCAGUUUUCACACAGAUGCAAUUAUUUUCCAUACUUUAGAGAUGAGAACAUUGAGGCAUAGAGAGGUUAAGUAAUUUGACCAAGGAAGCACAGCCAGUAAAUGGCAGGCCAAGGAUUUGAACCCAAUCAGUAUUUUUUUUUGUAGCUCAUCUCCAUGGAGUUAGUUGGAGUCUCAUCAGCACUUCCUCGUACAGGGCUCCAUUUUACUGAUUUCUAUCAACCACAGGACAUACUUUUCUUUUUUCUUCGUACCCUGAAGAAGAAAUGCACUAGGUAACUUCAAUAUGAUGGCAGUAAGAUUGUUUUUCAACACAUACACACACACUUUCAAAAAAAACUUAGAGACCAGAUGCGGUGGCUCACGCCUGUAAUUCCAGCACUUCGGGAGGCUACAAGCGAAAGGAAGUCAAGACCAGCCUGGACGGCCAGGCGCAGUGUCUCACGCCUGUAAUCCCAGCACUUUGGGAGGCCGAGGCGGGCGGAUCACCUGAGGUCAGGAGUUUGAGACCAGCCUGGCCAACAUGGUGAAACCCCGUCUCUACUAAAAAUACAAAAGUUAGCCAGGCGUGGUGGCACGCAGCUGUAAUCCCAGCUAGUCUACUCGGGAGGUUGAGGCAGGAGAAUUGCUGGAACCUGGGAGGGAGAGGCUGCAGUGAGCUGAGAUUGCACCACUGCACUCCAACCUCGGUGACAGAGCAAGACUCCACCUCAAAAAAAAAAAAAAAACAAAACAAAAAACAAAAACCCCGCCUGGACAACAAAAUGAGACCCCAUCUCUAUAAAUAAUUAGCCAGUUGUGGUGGCAUACACCUGUAGUCCCCAGCCACUUGGGAGGCUGAGGCAGGAGGACUGCAUGAACCCAGGAGUUGGAGGUUGCAGUGAGCCACGACUGCACUACUGCGCUCCAGCCGGGGUGACAGAGUGAGACUCCAUCUUAACAACUUAAUGGUAAAGCAGGCCUCCAGUACACUUUCUCCUCCCUGUCUUUUCUUCUUUUCUGAAGAUUACUACUUACUCACCGUUCCCCAUUGGUUUAGAUGAUAACAGAAGAAACAGGACACUAUAAAAACCUUAUUUUGCACCACAGAAAGCAAGAUGUGAAGGCAGUCAGGUUUGAUAACAGUGCGCACUGUUUUUGCAGUAUCUUUCAUCACGAGGCUCUCACAUCAUGUGCUCUGAGCUCAUGUAACACACUCUGCUGGAAUGCCCCCAUUCAAGAGGGGAGAGAGUCCGUGACAGUCCUCCCUGCACUCACUGUGCUAGCAAAGAUGUCCGGGAAGGACAGAAAAGAAUGUAAUGUGCAAUUAAAACAAGGGAGAGUGAUUAAUGUAGGCAAAAAUUAAUCACAAGGGCAGUGUCAAAGUUUGGUGGGACAACUGCGUGUUCAGAAGACACCUGAAAAAAGUGAAAUGAAGAACCAAGGAUCAUCUGAGCAAAGACUCAAGGACCAUUUGAACAAAGACAUCCACAUCUAUACCACAGAUGACUUGGCAUCUAUGGAGGAGUGGAGGUGAGCACCACUCUACCAUGUAGAGGAAGCAGCCACUGUGGAGGCUGGGCUUGUGGAGAUUCCUUCUGGAUGCCCUCAGAUCUGUCAUUAAUGGGGACAAAGCAGAAUCAAGGGACUGCUCUAUCUCAUCUACCACUACCAGCUCCACCAUCCAGGGUACUGUUCUUGCCACUGCAUCUAGAAAGAAGAGGAAUGCAAUCUUGCAGUUAGAAAAGGCUGUCUCGCUGAAUAUUUAUUCUCAUUCCUCUACCCAAAACUAAUGAAAAUGUGAAGUCUGAGUGGUGUCUGAACCUAAUAUUUUCGUGUCCGAGGCACACAAGGUUGAGCUGCCACUUCUAGCCAUCUGAACCACCCAGUGUGAGCAUAUAUGUGGCUGGGAGGGUGGGUGGUGAUGGUGGUGGUAGGGAGGUGGGGGAGACUUCUAAUGAGAGGCAGUAGAGAGUAGGGUCUAAGAGUAGGUACUCUAGAGUCACACUGAUUUCGGUUCAAACCCCAGGUCUGCCAUUUACUAGCUGCACUUCCUUGGCCAAAUUACUUAACCUUUCUGUGCCUCAAUUUUUUGUCUCUAAAGUGGGGAUAAAUAGUUGUAUCUGUGGGACAACUGAGUAUAUGGCAAGUGUUUAGAAUAGUACCUGGCAUAGAGUAAGGGCUGAAUGAGUGUCAGCUCCAGCUGUCAUCUAGGUGUAAGCUCACUGGCAGCAGGUGCAAGAUUCUUUUGGAUGGCUAACAAGCUACAGCUUUGGCUGACAGUGCUGUUUGUGAAACCCAGUGGCCUCUUCACUCCAUAGUCAGCCUUCCAGUGCUCCUGCCCUUGGUGGCCUUGGCAGGAGCCUGGGGUUGAGUGGGGACUCAGACAACUGAAGCUCUCCCAGCAAAAGCAGGAUCCCCACGUCUCCCACUGACACUAAAAAACAAAUUCUUGAAUUUUUCCCGGGUCUGCUGAGUGAUCACAAGAGGACAGCUGGGGCUGGAUGACAGAGCCUCAGCAGUGACAGGGAAGCCUGCUUACUUCCCUCAUGCUCAGAGUGCCUUUUGGCCACGGGCUUAUUUCAGCUGUCUUGUGUUCCAUUUCUGAGGCUCUAAAGGGAUGCUCUGGGAACUGGGAUCUAGGAAUAAAUCAAGAUGAGUGGGGCAAGGUUAAUACCCUGAUUAGAUCAGCCUGGCCCAACGCCCUUUGACCUUAGAGUACUGGAAAAGUCUUGACAGGCAAGGGCAUGAAAAGGUCAUGUGCUCCAGGGGCACUGUCUUCAAAGAGGAGCCUUCCUGGGGUAAACAGGCGCAUCUACCUUCUCAAUAACAGGUUCAAAAUUCAAGAAAGCAAACAGCAUUCCCUAACUAUCAAUAUUCCACUAAGUCCUAGAAUAGUUUUAGUUUUUAACAUCCCAGAUAGCAUUUUCAAUUGUAAUGCCUGGAAUGAGAGGCAGAGGAUCUUCAGGGUCACGUGCUAUUUUUUAUGGGUUUACAUGAAGGAUGCAGAUGUCAUUUUAAUUUUUAUCUUUCUAAACAUAGUUUGGCCACCAUCCCUGCUGAAGACCACAGUGAGUCCAAAGAACAUGGUUAACUGAAAUACACAGAUAAUCACAGAAAUUACUUUUAGGCAAUGAUGUCAACUUUGUCCCACUGAUGGAAGAAAAUAAAAAAGCUGAAAUUAGAAAAUCUAAGUUUUUUCUCAUAAAGGUGAACCCCAAACCUGUCCAAUAAUACUCUACUAAAUAAAGUCUGUUAGUAAAGAAGGGAUGAAAAAAAUCAGUACCUAAAAGACUCUCAGGCCGUGAAAAUGAUUUUGUAAAUUCUCAAAUGGGCUUUGCAAGCCAACAGAUCCAAAUCACAACUGUGGUCAAGGCAUUCUGCAGAGUCUCAAUGCUAGGUGAAGAAGGCAUCUUGGGAACCAGCAGACUGCCACUCUCUCAACAUUGAAAAGAUAUCUCCAUUCUUUGAAAGUCACUUUCAGCCACCCAGAAAGUUACCUGGAGAAAAGUAUGGUGAAUGAAACUGUUUAGAGUUUGAGAAGGAGCAGGUCUUUCCUAUGUAAAAAUUCCAAUGAAUAAAUGACAAUAAGAUAGAAAAUUGCCAUUAAAGCAUGGCAGUAAUAAUUAUUGUAGAUAAGCUCCACCAAAGCAUGACAAGAUCAGUGAGUGACAAUGUGAUGAGAAACAGGACCUUGGCCAGUUGUGGUUGGGAGGCUGAGGUGGGAGGCCAGGAGUUCGAGACCAGACUGGGCAACAUAGUGAGUUUCUACAAAAAAUUUAAAAAUUGGUGAAGGCCAGGCAUGGUAGCUCAUGCCUGUAAUCCCAGCACUCUGGGAGGCCGAGGUGGGCGGUCAGGAGAUCAAGACCAACCUGGCCAACAUGUGAAACCCCGUCUCUACUAAAAAUACAAAAAUUAGCUGGGUGUGGUGGUGCCUGCCUGUAAUCCCAGCUACUUGGGAGGAGGCUGAGGCAGGAGAACUGCUUGAACCAGGGAGUUGGAGGUUGCAGUGAGCCGAGAUUGCGCCACUGCACUCCAGUCUGGCGACUGAGCGAGAUUCUGCCCAAACAAAAAAACAAACAAACAAAACUGGUGGGGCACUAAUUAGUGAUGGUGCACACUAGCUACUUGGGAAACUGAGAUGGGAGGAUUGCUCAAACCCAGAAGUCUGAGGCUGCACUCCCCUGCCUGGGCAACAGAGCAAGACUGUCUCAAAAAAAGAAAAAAGAAAAGAAAUAUGAAAAAAGAGAAACGAGACAUCUGCAUACUGUGAGUAUCAGCCCUAAGAUAUCAGUAACAAUGCGAAAAGCAGAAAAUUUACACUGGAGAAACCUGGCAGGCACCACCUCAAUCAAGUGUUCAAGGCUAAGAGAUCAUCAGUGGUAAGAUGCUGACAUCACACAGAUGUGACGCACUGAGAUGCAAUGUCAAUCUUGUAGUAGUCUUCCCCAAAAUGUAUAAAAAUGAGUUUAAUGAUGAGAAACAUUAGAACCAAUUUGGAGCAUUCUAUGCAACAACCUGUCCAUACUAUUCAAAAAUAUCAAGGUCAUGAAAAACAAGCAAAGAUAGACACAUUUUUACAGACUGGAGAAGACUAGAUAUAGUAAGUAAACACAAUGAAGGAUGUUGGGACUGAAAAAGGAUAUUAGUGGGAAAACUGGUGAAAUUCAAAUAGUCCAUGGUUAACAGUAUUGUGUCAUUGUUAAUUUCUUGGCUGUGAGAAUUGGUGUAUAGAUUAUGUAAAAUGCUAACGUUAGGGAAAACUGGGUGAUAUUUUACAAACUUUUUUUUUUUUUUUUUUUAAAGAGACAGGGUCUUAAUCUGUCUCCAAGACUGUUGUGCAGUGGCAUGAUCAUAGUUCACUGCAGCCUGGAACUCCUGGCUCAUGCGAUCCUCCCACCUCAGCCUCCCAAGUAGCUGAGACUACAGCCACGUGCCACCACUGCUGGCUACUUAAUUUCUUUUUUUUUGUAGAGAUAGUCUCACAGCUUGGUCUCAAACUCCUGGCUUUAAGAGAUUUGUCUUGGUUUCCCAGAGCACUGGGAUUAUAGGUAUAAGCCACCAUGCCUGGAUGCUUUUUCAACUUUUUUGUAAGUCUAAAAUUAUUUCAAAAUAAAAAGCUGAGAGAGAGAGAAAAAAAAAAAUCAGUUCAGUUUCUCCCCGGCCAGUGGGGUCAUCCUCACUACAAAGUUGCUGGUUUGGGCUCUAGCUCUGCGGAUUUUCCUCACUGGACGAAUUUCAUAAUUGUCGCUACCACUGAUAUUACACAAUUGAGAUUCUAACUGAAUGGAGAGUGAUGGAAGAACAUGAAUGAAGAAGUCAUGCUGACAUUGGGGAAAGAGAACUUACUGAAAAUUUUUAAAAUGUUAAAUAUUUUACAUUAUCUUCACAAUCCCUGUACCCCCAACACCUUCCACAGCAAAUCUCCCUCAACAAUACUUCAGUAAUCUGGCUAGAGCCCAAAACAAAUACUUCUUAUUCAGAACUUGGCUUUGAAGAAAAUGCAGCCCUAACAAAAUUUUAAGUAAGUUACUGAAGGAUGCAGAGGCUUCAUUUUACAGGAGUUAGUUCCAGAGGUGAUUUUGGGACCAGCAUUAUUCCCAGACCCCAACCACAUCUAAAGCUGCCAGGAGGGUCUGGCUUUUGAUUCCUCUGUGACUCCUUUCCAGACUAAAUCAAUGUCACUUGGUUCCAACAACUGCAGCUCUUCCCUACUCUUUGACCUGCUGUGCCUAAAAUUUAACUUUCCCAAAUUGAGGAGGGUUCAUCCUCCUUGCCUGGGUCAAUCCUUGGGGUGGACAAAAGGUAUUAAGACAACUAUGGAAGCCUAUCCACUCUGUCGAGAGAAACAAUUACUCCUAAAGAAAAUCUCUACUUAAAGCCACGAUUAAAGUCACUCUCCUCUUCAUCCCUCAACAACUUGCUUUGAAAGGGUAAGAAGGGAAAGAAGAUGAGUGCUUCCACUUCGCUGGUAGGGGUGAAUGGUAGGUAGUCCUAUCUGCACUCUUUCCAUCUAGUCCCCUACACAUAAUAGCAACAAGUGUGCUAGUUGUAUGCUACAGUUGUUGUAGCCUCUUAGCAGAGCCUUCAAAUCCUGGUGUGUGGGUGUAGGUCUGUGUGGGAAGGUGUGUGGGUGUAGGUUUGUGUGGGAAGGUGUGUGGGUGUAGGGGUGGGUGUGUGUGGGUGUAGGGGUGGGUGUGUGUGGGUGUAGGGGUGUGUGUGUGUGUGUGUGUGUGUGUGUGUAGGGGGGGUGUUCUCUUGCCCUGGCCACCUAAAAAGCCUAAGUUACUACUGACAAAGGAUCCUAUUCCUUUUCACUCAAUAUAAGCCUAUAAGACAUCUCAACACUCGCCAUCUUACAAACAUAGAGAAGCAUCUGGGUGUCUGGGCGUGCCCUGGACCCACAAAAAUCCCUAACCAAAACUGUUAGCUCUGACAACGGUUUAAGCAGAAGUAAUAGCAUAUACCUCUGAAGGCAGAGGUUUGGUUUUUAUUGCUAGGUUUACUCCUGCUCGUUUAUAAGGAUGCCCUAAAUGCCAUCUCCCAAUGAAAACCCUUCCAUGUCCAGGGGCAAAGGAUGCUCUGGACCCUCAAUGCUUGAGCCUACUGAACCAUCCAGGACCACUUCGCUUGGCUCGUCUAGUGAUGCAGAGCUGUUACAUGGUUCUGCAAAGGAUUCUCAGAGAGAUUCCCACCUCACAGUCACUGCUUUGCUUUCAGAUAUUUCUGGUAACCCCCAGAGUUCAGUGUCUUUCUAGCUUGAUUUGUCCCAACAGAAUGGAGCCUUAUUGAACCUAUGGAUCAAUUCUGGUGAAAUGUCAAAUAAGGCAAAAUAAAACAGAAGUAAGUGUGAAGGCAAGAGUUUUUACCAGAAUCUGACCCUUUGGUGAGAUAACUCACGUGACGGAAAGCUCUGAUGAUAUUGCUGAAGCUGGAGUGUUUAAUGACCUCCAUUUUCUCAAGAGCAUUUUCCCUGUAAACAAAGAUGACAACUGUUACAGCCAGAGAAAGUGACAGCUUCUGAGGUUUCCACCAUAAACACUUGCUGAGGCUCCACUGAUGCCAGGCACCAUGGUGAUGCUGGUGAUCUAAAGACAAGAGUCAGGCUUAAAAGCUUUGCAAACUCUUUCCCAAAAAAGGUACAGUCUAGGCAAAGUUCAAGCUGUAAACUUGUAACUUCAACAUCAGCUGUUACAUGCUCCAGCAAUAGAAUGGAUUAAUUUCUUGGGGACAGAGGAGAGGAUAUUAAGGGUAAAGAAGGAUUUUAAUUAGGAGAUGACAUCUGGCAAGUCCUCAUAAACCCAGCAGCACAGAGCUGGCCACAUAAAUCAAACCCUUGUAUUCAGGGUCCAUACUAUUACUCAACAAGGGUAAUUCGAGUAAUUACCAGAGUUAUCAUGAUCCAACACAUAAGUUCAUUUGAGGACCCUGACUAUGCAAGCAUGAAUAUUUUUUUGGCUGCCUCUAGAUAGCAUGUUUAUGAAAAACAGGUUAAGUUACUGGCUCCAAAUUACUUUUUAAUAAAAAAAGCAAACAAUAAAAGCUUAAGCUUUUAAGAUUUUUCUUUUUUGUUUUUAACCUGGAAAAUAAAUCUCCCUGUCAAAAACAUGCAAAAUGAAUGAUUUAUGUGAUAUAAGCUUGGGUAUCUGUGUUAUUAUUACAUGACAUUUCCUAACAGCUUAUAAUUGCCUUAAAGAUUGUUUUGGAAAGGUUAUACCUUCUCCCUAUUCCCAUUCCCUUUAAAUAAACCCUUGUGUAAUCUCUGGAAAUUUUUAGACUACAACUAUCAAUGGGCCAUUCAAAAAUGGAGCCAUUGUCAAGUCACCCACAUGAAAUAGUGAAGGUUUACAACCAAAAGAGAAUCGCUCACUUCCACAAAAUAGCUGAUGGAAAUACUGUGCUCCGGGGGCUUACGUGGAACAAACAUUAGGAAGGUGUCUACCUGCAAACCCGCUCUAAGGCUGGACCAAACCAGGGGGUCCAGGUCAAUCACAAGUACUGAAUCAACCAGGAAAGUCCACAGAAUACUGAGAGCCAUCAAUGACACCACUUUAGAAUUUAACUGUUCCAAACCCUUUGUUUGGCAGAUGGGGAAAGGAGAGGUAGAGGGAGAUCAGAAGAGUCAAUACAAGAAUCUUGGCUGAUUGGCUGGUUUUUCUAAUAUGGUUCAUUCACCACAUCAUGUUAUUCUAUUGAAGUUCAGGAGAGGGUACCAGGGGAUACCUCAACCCAAAAUGACUUCUUCACAGUUUUAAGUCUAGGGGGAAAGGCCCAUAAUGUAGUCCUCACCACUUUUUCCUAGGAAUGGCUAGCAUCAGACAUGACCUAAAUCUGUAGAGCUAGUUCAACAUUCAGGUUACCAAACAAAGUCAUGAAAGAAUGUAAUUACUAUCACAGACAUAGACUGUCUAGGUUCUAAAGCAAUUAAGCUGGUAACGUACUAUUUACAAUAAAAAAAUUGGUUUCACAAACCUGUAACAGAGACCAGGUAAAUGUGCCAGAAAUUGUAUAAACCAUGGCAUACCUUGUAUCAAUUUUUAUGUAGACACAGCAAGCAAACACAGUUUUGGAAGAUAAUUCCUAUAUUCCAACUUAGCAUAAGGUAAUUAACUGUGUCUUAAAAGAGGAAAAGAAAGGAGCCUAGAGCUUUAUUAGGUGUCCCACCUAACUUAAAUUUGUUUUUCUAGAAAAAAACCAUGCACUCAAGAAAGGCAAUCAAGAUCUACAUACUUAAUUCACAUUCACAGAAACUUGUGAAUAUAUCUGUAAAAGGAUUAUCAUUAAUCCUUCAAGCUCCUAGAGUAGGAAUACAAUACCCGGGCAGUGGUUCAAGAAAUCUAACUCGUGAGAAGGUUACACAUCUCAGGGGUAAUCUAAUAAUGUAAACUUUUACAAACUUUCCUUCCUGGUCUCUUGCCUUCAGUAGGUCAUUCAUUUAAAAACAUAAUGAGCUCCUGGAAUAUGCUGGGGACCCUGUGGGGAAUAAGGCACUUGUGAUUCCUGCACCCAAGAGUGUAGCUGGGGCUACAGGAAUGUUUUAAGACACCUCUUAACUGUUUAACCGCUAGUGUUUUAAGACAUAAUUCCUGCCCUCCUGGAGUUUACAGUCUCCUUGGGCACACAGAAUCUGUGCAUAAUAAUAGAAUUACAUAGAAGUAGAGGGACAGAAGACAAAAACAAUGUGAGUUUGGGGCAAAAGGAAGAAUUUCUUGGAGUCUAAAGAAAAGGAUCCAGACCCAAGAAGCAGAGGAAUGAAGGCUAUUUCCAGUGUUGAGGCGUCCCAAACAUGGCACUCUUGACAUGCUGAAGCAGCCUCAAGGUCCCUGACCCCCCUUCCUCAUCCUUUGUCUCUCGCAAAGCACAGGACAAGGCUGUUCUCUGAAGUUCCCUUACCCACCUAGAAACCAGAUCCCCAAAGAGGAACACUACGGCCUGCAAUUGCACCCUGCCAUCCACCAGCUCAAGACUGAGGAAUGCAACCAUACCCAGACAGACUUUUUCACAAGACAAUUUCUGCCUCUGGAGCGUGUUCAAAUUCUAAAGAGCAUCAUUUACAAGUAAAUUGCUGUCUCAGGGAAAUAUUCAUUUUCCCUGAAAAUCAUUUACUCCUACACCCCCAAUACCUUCUCACCAAUAAAUAAAGCAUUUAAGGAUCAA